UUCCCAGGCUAGGGGUCGAAUCAGAGCUACAGCUGCCAGCCUACCCACAGCCACAGCAAUGCCAGAUCUGAGCCACAUUUGCAAUCUACACUGCAGCUCAAGGCAAUGCUGGAUCCUUAACCCACUGAGCGAGGCCAGGGAUCGCAUUCUCAUGGAUCCUAGUCCAUGAUGAACAAACUCCUGCAUCUGGCCUGGGGCUGCUGAGCACAGGUGCACAUGUUGCAUACUGCACAAGAGCAUCUGGGAGGGGGGGAGAGCAAGGGCUGAAACCCAACCCUGCUCCUCCCACCCUGCUGUGCAUUCCCACCUAUAAUCUACACAAGGCCUUGCUAGCAGCAGCCCCGCCCUCUCUGGGUUCAGCCUGGCCGUGGUCCCCAGCACCACACCCACAAUGGGCUCUUACUGGUCUCCAGCAAUGGAGCGCUAGCUUCUCUGCCUUUGGGAGAACUCUGUCCCCCAAAGCAGUUUGCAGCUCUCCUCCCCUUCCUUCCACGUCCCCAUGUGGGACAUGGGUCUUCCUUUCCUGCCAAAGUCCACCUUCUGUGCUGGACACUGCCAGAGAGGCUGUGACACUUUAUACAGCAGGAAACACUCCUGCCGAAACACUCCUGCCAAAACACUGUUUCCCAGAGUGCAAAACUCCACAACCAUUUGUCACAAGACAACCACGAUCAGAGGCUAGGUCAGCAGGCAUGUGAGAAAACCACACAUCAAAGACAUUUUCUGGCUUUUCCAUGCAAGAGUCUUGGCCAGACCAGUUUACCUAGAAAGUUUAGUAGAGCAGCUAUUUCAGAAAAAUAAGGACGAGUCAUCUUUGACUCUAUAAACGUCUGCGCUUGUUAGAAUCAAUUAUAACAAGAAUGUACUCUUUCUUGACUUAGGAGAUUAAAAAAUGAGUGAAGAAAAGUGUGAGGUCAGUCAUACGACAUAGCUGCUGACAUCAAAGGUCAACAGGAAGUGAUCAUUCGAGGUUCUCUUAUUUUCAUCAUCACCUUAGAACUUGAAUGAUCAGGCCUGAUGCCUUCCUACGGCAGGUGAAACACUCGUUUUUAAAAUAAUAUGACAGUGACAACAUGACCUCGCUAUGGAGAAUACAUUCAAUACAAUAAACAGAAUCCUCUUCCAAUCACUUUCCUGGUUCGUCCUCAAAGCAAUCCCGCUAAGUUGUCCCCAUUUGACAGACGGGAAGCCAAGGCCCCAAGAAGAUGAGGUCAAACACCAGCAAGUGGUGGGGCUGGGAUUUUCAGUCUGGGCAAACUUGUCUCUGGAGCCUGAACCGUAACCACUAGACCGCAAUCUCCUGGGGACAGUGGGGCUGGGGGUAGAAGGGGCCCAGAAACCUUCCCACUGGCCUCUCUGUGGAUCCCACAAAAUCUUCCAUCAACAGCUCAGACCACAACAAGGCAGCCCUGUGUGCUAACGUUUGCUAAUUAAAAAAAUUUAUUUUGUUUUUUUAGAUCCAUGCUCGCAGCACAUGGAGGUUCCCAGGCCAGGGGUCUAUUCGGAGCCGUAGCCGAGGCCUACACCACAGCCACAGCAACGCCGGAUCCUUAACCCACUGAGCAAGGCCAGGGAUCGAAUCCGCAUCCUCAUGGAUGAGGCUGAGCCACAACAGGACCUCCAUCUAAUUAUAGUUUUAGAAUAAUUAGGUGGAAUCCUGUUGGUGUCAGGGUCUAACAGGGGGUCCACAGAUCUCAAAUCCUUUCAUCCUGCCAAACCUCUCCUUGGCCAAUGAGCCUUCAUGACAAUGAGAAGUACAUUCAAGAAAAGGGAAAUACAAAGCACCCCUUUUCUUAUAGGCCAUUGCCAGCUGCUAUUGACAGCGUGUUGUGUCUCCCCCGACCCCCAGUAUUGAUAAGCUGAACACCUAAACCCCAGCAUGUGGGUAUCUGGAGGCCUUUGGGAGGUGAUUAGGUUAUACGGGGAGCCCUUAGGAAUGAGAUUAUACGAGACCCCAGAGGUGGCCUCCCCCUCCCCUUCCCCUUCCCCCUUGCGAGGACUCAGUGAGGAGGUGGCCCUUACCAGACACCAGAUCUGCCAGCUCCUUUUGGCCCAGAUUCGUGCUAGGACUGAGUCUCCACUGCAGGUUAAAAUAAGGAUUUCCAGCCUACAACGGCCCUGCCUUCUUCCCAGUGCCUUUGGGACACAACGUCCCUGGUUAAAGGAAAGUGGAAGCCUCGUUCUGGAUUCUGUUGGCACCAUCUGAUGGGGAAUUCACAGAACCUGUGGCUUAAGCAGCCCGGACCCAUCAUGGGCACUUAGAACUUGCUCUGAAAGCUGGGGAGUGGAGGUAGGAGAGAAUAGACCCCCAUAGGCACCCUGAGUUCUGUCCCCACUGGUUCCCACCUGCCAAUGUUGCUCUCAACGGUUUCCUUUGUGUGGGUUGGUUUCCUUAUGAGUAAAAUUGGUUCGUAUUGGAGGGUUGCCAAGCUCUUUGCAAAUCAGCUUAAAAGGCAGGGCGCCCAUCCAAGAAACAUUUCGAUCUGCCUGAGAUUCUACAGAGACUUUCAGAGUGUUCAGUGAAGAACCCCAAGGGUCCCGGUGAUUGCUCAGCCUCCUCUGAUUCUAUCACCUCCCCUCUUCCUUCCACAAAAGAUGCCCUCCCCAGGGCAACGUGGCAAAACGAGACCUUCUGUCCCCAUCCCCGCCUAGACCGCAGGCAGGAACCACGUUCAUCCCAAUAGGACCUGUGUCUGUAGUUCUUCCUUUCUCAACAAAGUUAAUUUGGAUUUGUUUGAGAUGAAUACAAAACAGGAAAUGAUUAAAAAUUGGAAGCCUGGAAGAGAGACUUUUUCGAUUCAAAAAUACAAUCAGGGGAGAUCCCUGGUGGUCUAGUGGUUAUGAUUUGGUGCUUUCCCCACUGUGGCCCAGAUUCAAUCCCUGGUCUGGGAACUCAAAUCUCACAUCAAGCUGCGGCCAAAGUAAGAAAAAAAAGGAAAAAAAAAAAAAACCAAUCAGUUGUCAGAUCCUAGUCUGACCUAGCUGGUGACAGACAUGGUGUGGGGAGACAAUGACAGCCCCACCCCCUUACUUUAUUCACUUCUGUCCCCAGGGAUGUGCCCAGGGCUGUGGCAAACUAUGAUCAGUGAACAUGCCCACCAAACCCACAGAGUCAAACUGGUCUUUUCAAAAGCAUCCACUUCCUAGUUUUUCCUGCGUUGACCUGCCAAGCGGGUCCUGUUCACAAAGCCCCAGGCAGACUCGCCCUAUCCUGGGAAAACAGAUGAACACAAUAGCCUUAUCACUGAGUGUAAGUUGUAUCAUUCUUUCCAACAGGCUAGCGAUAGAUGAACGAUUCAAUUGUUCGGGGGAAGAAAAAGGCCUCCCAUGUGGCUGAGAGCCUGGCUGUCACCCUACCUGUUUUCACUUUCAUUGCGCUAACAUCACUUAAUCACCCGCAAGGCAUUUCCUUGUCUUUGGACUGGGUUAAACUUUAUUUUACCCUAGGGAUAAAAUAAUGGCAGCCACCACUUCCUGUGCCAACCACUCCUCGUGUGCUGUCACGAAUCAUGUAAUAUACACGAUAUUUUCACGAUACAGAUGAGAGAACUGCCAGCAUGGUUAUCUCCACUCUACAGACGAGGAAAUCAGGGCGGGGCGAGGUUAAGUCAUUUGCCCCAAAUCA
rnacentral:tRNA from 1 species